rnacentral:rRNA from 1 species
UACAGAGGUCUCAAGCGUUGUUCGGAUUCAUUGGGCGUAAAGGGUGCGUAGGUGGCGUCUGUAAGUCGGGGUGUGAAAUUUCCGGAGCUUAACUCCGAAACUGCAUUCGAUACUGACGGGUGCUUGAGGGACUGGGAGAGGAGACGUGGAAUUCAAUGGUGUAGCAGUGAAAUGCGUAGAGAUCAUGAGGAAGACCAGUGGCGAAGGCGGGUCUCUGGACAGUUCCUGACACUGAGGCACGAAGGCCAGGGGAGCAAACGGG